GUUAAGAAUCUUCCGCAAUGGACGAAAGUCUGACGGAGCAACGCCGCGUGAGUGAUGAAGGUCUUCGGAUUGUAAAGCUCUGUUAAUCGGGACGAAAGAGCCUAGUGUGAAUAAUGCUAGGAAGUGACGGUACCGGAAUAGAAAGCCACGGCUAACUACGUGCCAGCAGCCGCGGUAAUACGUAGGUGGCAAGCGUUGUCCGGAAUUAUUGGGCGUAAAGCGCGCGCAGGCGGAUCUGCCAGUCUGUCUUAAAAGUUCGGGGCUUAACCCCUUGAUGGGAUGGAAACUACAGAUCUAGAUUAUCGGAGAGGUAAGUGGAAUUCCUAGUGUAGCGGUGAAAUGCGUAGAUAUUAGGAAGAACACCAGUUGCGAAGGCGACUUUCUGGACGAAAACUGACGCUGAGGCGCGAAAGCCAGGGGAGCGAACGGGAUUAGAUACCCGGGUAGUCC
rnacentral:rRNA from 1 species